AAUGCAAUUGAUGGGUCAUGUGGUAGUUAUAUUCAGUUUUUAAAGAAAUUAACAAAUUGUUUUCCAGGGUGGCAGUACCAUCUUUUGUUUCCCAUCAGCAAU
rnacentral:pre_miRNA from 1 species